AUUGAACGCUGGCGGCAUGCCUUACACAUGCAAGUCGAACGGUAACGCGGGGCAACCUGGCGACGAGUGGCGAACGGGUGAGUAAUGCAUCGGAACGUGCCCAGUAGUGGGGGAUAGCCCGGCGAAAGCCGGAUUAAUACCGCAUACGACCUACGGGUGAAAGCGGGGGACUCGCAAGAGCCUCGCGCUAUUGGAGCGGCCGAUGUCAGAUUAGGUAGUUGGUGGGGUAAAAGCCUACCAAGCCGACGAUCUGUAGCUGGUCUGAGAGGACGACCAGCCACACUGGGACUGAGACACGGCCCAGACUCCUACGGGAGGCAGCAGUGGGGAAUUUUGGACAAUGGGCGCAAGCCUGAUCCAGCCAUGCCGCGUGCGGGAAGAAGGCCUCGGUUGUAACGAC
rnacentral:rRNA from 1 species